GGAAUUUCUGGUGUAGGGGUAAAAUCCGUAGAGAUCAGAAGGAAUACCGAUUGCGAAGGCGAUCUACUGGAACAUUACUGACGCUGAGAUGCGAAAGCGUGGGGAGCAAACAGGAUUAGAUACCCUGGUAGUCCACGCCCUAAACGAUGCACACUAGUUGUUGCUAUGCUAGACAUAGCAGUAAUGCAGUUAACACAGUAAGUGUGCCGCCUGGGGAGUACGGUCGCAAGAUUAAAACUCAAAGGAAUAGACGGGGACCCGCACAAGCGGUGGAGCAUGUGGUUUAAUUCGACGAUACGCGAAGAACCUUACCUGGCCUUGACAUAGAAAGAACUUUCCAGAGACGGAUUGGUGCUAGUUUACUAGAGCUUUCAUACAGGUGCUGCACGGCUGUCGUCAGCUCGUGUCGUGAGAUGUUGGGUUAAGUCCCGCAACGAGCGCAACCCUCGUGUUUAGUUACUAACAGUUCGGCUGAGGACUCUAAACAGACUGCCUGGGUAACCAGGAGGAAGGUGAGGACGACGUCAAGUCAUCAUGGCCCUUACGGCCAGGGCUACACACGUGCUACAAUGGGGUAUACAAAGAGCUGCAAUACGGUGACGUGGAGCAAAUCUCAUAAAAUAUCUCCCAGUUCGGAUUGAAGUCUGCAACUCGACUUCAUGAAGUUGGAAUCGCUAGUAAUCGUAGAUCAGCAAUGCUACGGUGAAUACGUUCCCGGGUCUUGUACUCACCGCCCGUCACACCAUGGGAAUUGAAUUCAUUCGAAGCGGGGGAUGCUAAAAAUAGCUACCUUCCACAGUGGAUUUAGUAACUA
rnacentral:rRNA from 1 species